UUUGAUCCUGGCUCAGGAUGAACGCUGGCGGUAUGCUUAACACAUGCAAGUCGAACGGGAUGCUUAGGCAUCUAGUGGCGGACGGGUGAGUAACGCGUGAGAAUCUGGCUCCAGGUCGGGGAUAACAGUUGGAAACGACUGCUAAUACCGGAUGUGCCGAGAGGUGAAAGAUUUAUUGCCUGGAGAUGAGCUCGCGUCUGAUUAGCUAGUUGGUGGUGUAAGGGACCACCAAGGCAUCGAUCAGUAGCUGGUCUGAGAGGAUGAUCAGCCACACUGGGACUGAGACACGGCCCAGACUCCUACGGGAGGCAGCAGUGGGGAAUUUUCCGCAAUGGGCGAAAGCCUGACGGAGCAAUACCGCGUGAGGGAGGAAGGCUCUUGGGUCGUAAACCUCUUUUCUCAAGGAAGAAGAAAGUGACGGUACUUGAGGAAUAAGCAUCGGCUAACUCCGUGCCAGCAGCCGCGGUAAUACGGAGGAUGCAAGCGUUAUCCGGAAUGAUUGGGCGUAAAGGGUCUGCAGGUGGAACUGAAAGUCUGCUGUUAAAGAGUUUGGCUUAACCAAAUAAAAGCGGUGGAAACUACAGAACUAGAGUGUGGUAGGGGCAAAAGGAAUUCCUGGUGUAGCGGUGAAAUGCGUAGAUAUCAGGAAGAACACCGGUGGCGAAAGCGUUUUGCUAGACCAUAACUGACACUGAGGGACGAAAGCUAGGGGAGCGAAUGGGAUUAGAUACCCCAGUAGUCCUAGCCGUAAACGAUGGAUACUAGGCGUGGCUUGUAUCGACCCGAGCCGUGCCGGAGCUAACGCGUUAAGUAUCCCGCCUGGGGAGUACGCACGCAAGUGUGAAACUCAAAGGAAUUGACGGGGGCCCGCACAAGCGGUGGAGUAUGUGGUUUAAUUCGAUGCAACGCGAAGAACCUUACCAAGACUUGACAUCCUGCGAAUCCUGGUGAAAGCUGGGAGUGCCUUAGGGAGCGCAGAGACAGGUGGUGCAUGGCUGUCGUCAGCUCGUGUCGUGAGAUGUUGGGUUAAGUCCCGCAACGAGCGCAACCCUCGUUUUUAGUUGCCAGCAUUAAGUUGGGCACUCUAGAGAGACUGCCGGUGACAAACCGGAGGAAGGUGAGGAUGACGUCAAGUCAGCAUGCCCCUUACGUCUUGGGCUACACACGUACUACAAUGCUACGGACAGAGGGCAGCAAGCCAGGGAUGGCAAGCGAAUCCAGAAACCGUAGCUCAGUUCAGAUCGAAGGCUGCAACUCGCCUUCGUGAAGGAGGAAUCGCUAGUAAUUGCAGGUCAGCAUACUGCAGUGAAUUCGUUCCCGGGCCUUGUACACACCGCCCGUCACACCAUGGAAGUUGGUCACGCCCGAAGUCAUUACCCCAACCGAAAGGAGGGGGAUGCCUAAGGUAGGACU
rnacentral:rRNA from 1 species